AGCGACGUUUUGCAUCGCCGCGACUGAAAAUCCGCGUGUCGGUGGUUCGAUUCCGCCCCUGGCCACCA
rnacentral:tRNA from 1 species